rnacentral:rRNA from 1 species
GUCGAACGAUGAAGCCCAGCUUGCUGGGUGGAUUAGUGGCGAACGGGUGAGUAACACGUGAGUAACCUGCCCUUGACUCUAGGAUAAGCCCGGGAAACUGGGUCUAAUACUGGAUAGGAACGUCUACCGCAUGGUGGAUGUUGGAAAGAAUUUCGGUCAUGGAUGGACUCGCGGCCUAUCAGCUUGUUGGUGAGGUAAUGGCUCACCAAGGCGACGACGGGUAGCCGGCCUGAGAGGGUGACCGGCCACACUGGGACUGAGACACGGCCCAGACUCCUACGGGAGGCAGCAGUGGGGAAUAUUGCACAAUGGGCGAAAGCCUGAUGCAGCGACGCCGCGUGAGGGAUGACGGCCUUCGGGUUGUAAACCUCUUUCAGUAGGGAAGAAGCGAAAGUGACGGUACCUGCAGAAGAAGCACCGGCUAACUACGUGCCAGCAGCCGCGGUAAUACGUAGGGUGCGAGCGUUAUCCGGAAUUAUUGGGCGUAAAGAGCUCGUAGGCGGUUUGUCGCGUCUGUCGUGAAAGUCCGGGGCUUAACCCCGGAUCUGCGGUGGGUACGGGCAGACUAGAGUGCAGUAGGGGAGACUGGAAUUCCUGGUGUAGCGGUGGAAUGCGCAGAUAUCAGGAGGGAACACCGAUGGCGAAGGGCAGGUCU